rnacentral:lncRNA from 1 species
CUGGGAGACUCUUGCUGGAGCAACUAGGAAAAGGAUGUGUCUGUCUGUUGGAUGCAUAGGAUGCGGAGCACAGGAUGCGAUCUUGAAGCUGCUGGCAGGUGUGGAACCCAGAAAUGGAGAUGGAAAGUCCCGAGCACCUGCUCCGUGCCAGGUGAACUUGAGAAUCUUGGAUUUGAGUCUCAUUCUUGUCAAGGUCUAUUACUGCCACCAACAGACACUGCCGCCCCACUACCACUCAACAUGUGAGAUGUCGAGUAAGUCAACACACAGAAAUCAGUUUGGGAAGAAAUCCCAUAUCCCAAGAUGGAGGCUUCUCAUCCAAAAAAAUGGAGCGCUUCCCUUCAAUCUUCAAUUGUGGCCACGUCUGCAGAUG